rnacentral:lncRNA from 1 species
GGAACACUGCAAAGGACAUCUAAAGAGAAUCCCAACCAAAUCUCAGCUGGACAGUUCCAUUGUUGCCGUGAAGCUUGCUGGAUGGAGGAGGCUAUUGACUGAUGUGACACCUGCUUUUUGUAACAGCAGGAAGUUGUAUUGUUUCUCUUCGAGUUUUUCUGGAGAAAGGCGGUAG